rnacentral:RNase_P_RNA from 1 species
GCGGAGGGCCGGAUGGCCGCGUGGCCGCUUCGGCGGCCGCGAGGAAAGUCCGGACUCCCAGAAGCAACGGUGCCGGGUAACGCCCGGGCAGGGCAACCUGACGGAAAGCGCCACAGAGAACAGACCGCCCGCCGCACCGGAGCCUCGUCUCCGGAGCCUGCGUCGGGUCAGGGUGAAACGGUGGGGUAAGAGCCCACCGGGGGGCUGGCAACAGCGCCCGCAUGGCAAGCCCCACCGGGAGCAAUGCCAAAUAGGGACCCCGCGCGGGCUGAUCCCCUCGGGGAUAUCGCCGCAGGGCCGCUUCUGCCCGAGGGGUCCGGGUUGGCAGCUUGAGCCGCGUGGCAACAUGCGGCCCAGAGGAAUGGUCAUCUCCGGCAGGCUUGCCUGCCGCAGACAGAAUCCGGCUUACAGGCUCUCCGCGCGU